rnacentral:rRNA from 1 species
UACGUAGGGCGCAAGCGUUGUCCGGAAUUAUUAGGCGUAAAAGAGCUCGUAGGCGGCCUGUUGCGUCCGCUGUGAAAUCCCCGGGGCUCAACCCCGGGCGUGCAGUGGAUACGGGCUGGCUGGAGGCAGGGCAGGGGAGAACGGAAUUCCUGGUGUAGCGGUGAAAUGCGCAGAUAUCAGGAGGAACACCGGUGGCGAAGGCGGUUCUCUGGGCCUGUACUGACGCUGGAGGAGCGAAAGCGUGGGGGAGCGAACAGG